rnacentral:rRNA from 1 species
UAUGGGGGGACCAUCCUCCAAGGCUAAAUACUCCUGACUGACCGAUAGUGAACCAGUACCGUGAGGGAAAGGCGAAAAGAACCCCGGCGAGGGGAGUGAAAAAGAACCUGAAACCGUGUACGUACAAGCAGUGGGAGCCUCUUUUAUGGGGUGACUGCGUACCUUUUGUAUAAUGGGUCAGCGACUUAUAUUCUGUAGCAAGGUUAACCGAAUAGGGGAGCCGAAGGGAAACCGAGUCUUAACUGGGCGUUAAGUUGCAGGGUAUAGACCCGAAACCCGGUGAUCUAGCCAUGGGCAGGUUGAAGGUUGGGUAACACUAACUGGAGGACCGAACCGACUAAUGUUGAAAAAUUAGCGGAUGACUUGUGGCUGGGGGUGAAAGGCCAAUCAAACCGGGAGAUAGCUGGUUCUCCCCGAAAGCUAUUUAGGUAGCGCCUCGUGAAUUCAUCUCCGGGGGUAGAGCACUGUUUCGGCAAGGGGGUCAUCCCGACUUACCAACCCGAUGCAAACUGCGAAUACCGGAGAAUGUUAUCACGGGAGACACACGGCGGGUGCUAACGUCCGUCGUGAAGAGGGAAACAACCCAGACCGCCAGCUAAGGUCCCAAAGUCAUGGUUAAGUGGGAAACGAUGUGGGAAGGCCCAGACAGCCAGGAUGUUGGCUUAGAAGCAGCCAUCAUUUAAAGAAAGCGUAAUAGCUCACUGGUCGAGUCGGCCUGCGCGGAAGAUGUAACGGGGCUAAACCAUG